UAUGGAUGGAUGUGUUAGCGGCAGUUAGAAUGGUCCUAAUGAGCUUUAUUUGAUCAUUCCACGGCCAUUAUCAAUAAAGUUUAUUGCCAAAAGGCAAAGUCUAUCGCCGGUUAACGUCGAUUACCGGUUACAGAUUUCUUCAUCCAUCAUCAUUCAUCAUCCUUUGUCAUCAUGUUCAAUGAGAAGACAAUGGUACCUUCAAAAGCUUCCAAGCAGACUUCAGCUGCAGCAUCAAAGAUCAAAAAUAAGCUCCUCAACUCGUCCUCCUUCUUCAAGAUCUCUUUGAAGACCAACAACAGGGCCUUAGCUCUCGCUUUGGAGGUGCAGAAGGAGAGGAACAGGCAGCUGGAGAAGGAGAUUGUGUGUCUGAAGAAGCAAGUGGAGGUUCUGUGCUUCGAGCUGGCCACCAGGAAAUACAAGGACAGGAAACUGCUCCUCAUCUUGAAAAGCCUCCAUAACAACACUCUGCAGCACUUUGACAUGGUGGCCGACUUAUUCUCCGACAGUGAUCUUCCUAAACUAUCUCAGGACAACAACAACUUAUUCAGCAACAUCCAGGAACAUCUUCCAGCAGAAAGUCUCACAGCUCCGUUACCUCCUCAGCCAGAAAUGACAAAAGACUUAACAGCUGACCGCCCUGAAAAAAACCUGGAUGAUAACGUCUUCUGUAUCCAGGAUAGACUCAAUAAGUCCACUGAUGCUCACAAUGAAACUACAGAUGUUGAAAAAAGGCGUUCAAGCCAGUGUAAACAAGCUCCCCGCACAGGAGCAUCACGCCCGUCCAGCAGGCUGAGGGAUGAAGUGGAGAGGCUGUCGAUGGUGUUCUCUCAGUCGGGGUUUGACAUGAAGUCGGUCCUUCCUCCUCAGAGCAGCCGAACCUCGUCACGUCUCAGCGCGUGUGAAAACUCUAAACCAGCUUCCGCUGAUGAUGUGAACCCUCCCUGCACCUCAGUCACAGAAACUGAGCCAGAACACGCUAACAAACAAGAGAACACAGUGCUCCUGAAUACAACAAUGGAGAUGACGCAGAGCGGCGCUUGUGAGAUAGUCACAGUGGAAACCAAGCCCAAAAGAAAGGGCAAGAAGAAGAAGGAAAAAAUGACUGGGUCGAGUUUGGCUGCAAAUCCACCAGUGAAAAAUUCUGCAGAUUCUUGGAUGAGCGAGGUUCAGACUGCUCCCACUGACUCUUUGUCACAGACAGAUGACUGUGCGCUAGAGGAUAUUAGAGACCUACAAGAUUUCAAGCACCACUCACCUAAAAAACAGUCUGGUAGUGUUGUAACCUCUCGCAUCCCCAAACUGGGCAAGGCUAGCAACUGUCAGAAAGCAGCAAAGGAGAAAUUCAAAUCACCGCACCACGCCAAGUUAAAGACGUCCUGUGACGAUGUGGACAAUUAUUUCAUGGAUCCUGAAAAUCAGUUAAUCAAAGCCACCAAAAGUGUUCAAUUAUCACCAGAGAAAGAUGCUGAGGAAGAAGUAGUGUCCACAGUCACAUGCAGGAGGUCCAAGAAAAAGAGCAGAGGGGCGUCUUUAGUCUCCAGGAAAACCGUGUUCAUGUCGUCAUCCCAUGAAAGUGAGAGCAGUCAGCUCAGAUUGGAACAGUUCCAUGAUAAAGUGAAGGAAGAAGUUAAGGGACAGGAUGAAUCGUGCAAAGACCAAGAAGAACCGGAAGAGUUCCUGUUUUGCACAGAUGAGGUCGAUGAGGUCAAACGUCCAGAGUCGGACCAUGUGGGGCGUCUUUUCCCAAGUCACAACAAACCACAGAGCAAAAAUACAGAAGGAAGUCUCAAAUCAAGAUGCAGAGGGACGUUUGUUGUCUCAGUGGCGAGGGACUGUAUCUCACCAAACAGUGCGUCACCAGAAGUGGGUUCCUCAGAGCAGGACUUUCUGCCUUCUGCAGGAAGCCACAGCUGUGAGGCAGAAGAGUCGUCGGUUGCCGUGGAUACAGGUGUCGUCGGGCAACGCUCAGAAUCAAAUCCACACAGUGACGGAGCCUUUGUGGGGGAAACGCAGAGCUCCUGUAAGCGUCCUUGGGUGGCCACCCAGGAUCCAGGCAGCAGUCAAGAGGACGUGAGCAGCAACAGUAACCAAGACUCUACCACAGGCACCGAGUUUCACAAACCUAAAAAAGCCAGGAGAGAAGAAGCGGGGCGUUCCGGCAAGAAGAAAGGUGCGCAGAGGAAGGAGAGUGAUGAGCUUUUAAAGGACAAGAAAAAGAAGAAUAAAAGUAGCCAUAGCAACAAAGGAUUUAGAUCCACAGAUGAAGCGAGUCAUCUUCAGGAAGCCAGUGUGGCUUCACCUCUCUGCGGCGCUCACGAGCCCGAGAGAAAUAAAGAAGAACUGGAUGAUUUUCAAGUGGCCGACAUCAGUGAGAUGGAUGAGCAGUUCUAUGAUUCAAACCCCAUCAGGUCAAAGUCCAGGAUGGAUCGGAAACCAAAAGAUCGCAGAACGAAACCCAAACUGCAAACACCCACAGACACGAGAAACCCGAGGGAGACGUUUGUCGUCUACAGGCGGAAAACUCAGGACAGUGUUUCACUAAACAACACGAGGACGCCUCAUGUGUCAGACGCCUACAGUCACACGGAGGACACCAGUAACGAGGCAGUUCAUCAGAAUCUGGGAGAUCUGCUGGCGGACGAGGUGCCGCCGUGGCUCGCCAUGGACGAUAGCAGCACUAACCCUGAGGCGCUCUCUUUACUGGCCAGUCCGACGGGGGAGGUGGAAGGAGGGGAGGAGGUGAUCGAGGAGUCUGCCGCUGCGACUAAUGACGCCUCUCCAGCAGGAAGAGUCUUAACGUCACUGACCAACACUAUCACAACCCCAGAGAGCGAAAUCAGAGGCCGAACCAGGAGACGUCACGGGGUCGUCAGUUACAAGGAGCCGCCCCUCAACAGCAAAAUAAGGCGUGGAGAUAAAUUCACCGACAACAUGUUUCUGAGCUCUCCGGUGUUCAAGGAGGGCAAGAAGAAGAAGAAGAAGAAGACGACUGCAGCCAAGCCGAAGCUGGAAAACUCUGCUUUACUGGACUGAUUAUUUUCUGUUUUUAAUCUGGUUUAUUGUAAUCUUUGUUUUUUUUUUUUAAAGCUUAAUAAAGACCUUUUAAUGAGUCUUUUAAAUCACUUAAACAGGUUUGUUGGCAACUGAAUUUUGUAGCCUGGACUGGACUCCCACAAUGCACCUUUCUCUUUACAAGAAACAUGUUUUUAUAACCGCUGCUCCACCUGCUUUCCAGCGAUAUGGGGCUGGUAAUGGUCAGAGAGAUUGACAGGAGGAUGAUCAUAAAUUAUUCAGUCCGGGCCGUUCACCUGAGAAGCCUGCUGCUCGUCCACACUGUAAAAGGCUUGUGUUCCCCAGAAAGGUCACCAGAGUCACUGUCGCACGACCGCCGCCGACCGUGUUCAGGACUUAGUCUCAUCAUGUGAAGUGAAGUGUUGUUGCUUCUGUUGUGCAGCAUCAGCGUCUGUCUGUAGAGGACUGUGAUUUACCAGACUGACUGGAUCUCACUGCAUUUGCUGGUAUCUCUCUGUGUGGUCCCAACGAGGUGUCGGUUUCAUUUCCUGGCUUCAUAGCACCGCACACGCAGCGGCUAAUUAACCCCAUACUUUGAGGUGAACAAUGUUAUGCAAGCUAGCUUUCACUACCGCCAACACAUCAGCUGAUUUCCACUUAAUUUCUAAUAUCUAGGAGUAUAGUAGGGUUUCAGUUUCAAUCAUUUCCUGUUGUCUUUGCAGGGGUCUUACAUGAAAGGAGUUUGUUCAGAACAUGGGGGCGAGGCAGCUGAAACGAGACGUUGAGGCUCUUAUGUGAGUGCACAUUAGAAUAAGCCCGGAGACUGUUGAGAAGCACAAAAUAAAUCAUGUUUUAAACCGGCAAC